AAAAAAAAAAAAAAACAAAACAAGAGAAUAAAGAAAAUGAUGAGAGCCAUGUUUGUAAUGGGAGGUUAAUCGCUAGACCCAGAGCGAUUUAUCAAGCAGAAGGCUUUAGAAUUUGAAUCCGCUGCCUUGGUCCGCUACUCACUUGAUGAUUUACUGCUUAAUUCCCAUGAAGAAGAAUGUCUCAUCUCUUUCAUAAUUUGUUGAACCUGGAUAAACCCUAAUACUCUGCUGUUUCAUGGUGAGCCGGGACAAUCUUCUUCCUCCGCCCAGCUGCCACAAUGACUGCUGUCAAGUCUGCUACAGGAGGAUUUUGUUGUGGUUAACCUGCUUGUCUCCUUCGCAGGUUGUUUAUUAA
rnacentral:misc_RNA from 1 species